UCAAUAAAAGAAAUUUGUUUGUGACGAUGUUACUUUGUUUGAAAACACUCAUUUUUUAAAAGAGAGUCGUGUACUUGAUAAAAUAUUUUUUAUCCUGCUUUAUGUAUUCUUGUUGAUCUUUUCAACCCAUUUACCUGACUCCAUUGAAUCUAGUACAUCUACCGGUCAUGAUAUUCCUCAGGAGCAGCCUAUAAAGGUUUACACUAGAACAAAAAUGUAGGGUGGAAAUUCCCCACCAACUUAGCCUUCCACUCAAUCAUCAUCUUUGUCUACUAAUCCACUUCCUUCUUGUGAUGAUUAAAGAGGGCAAUGGAAGAAGAGAUGAAUACACUUAAUUCAAAUGACACUUGGGAAGUCACUGAGUUAACAACUGGAAAAAGGGUUCAUUGGGUGUUGAUGCGUUUAUGUAUUCAAAUAUCAACCUGAUGGCAUUGUAGAAAGAUUACAAACGAGAUUGAUAGCUAAGGUAUACACGCAGAUAUUUGGCAUUGACUACUCUGAAAUAUUUGCCCCUAUUGCUAAACUUAAUUCAGCUCAAGUAGUUAUA